GUCUACGGCCAUACCACCCUGAACGCGCCCAAUCUCGUCUGAUCUCAGAAGCUAAGCAGGGUUGGGCCUGGUUAGUACUGAAAUGGCAGAAAUAGCAGUCAACC
rnacentral:rRNA from 1 species